rnacentral:rRNA from 1 species
GACGAACGCUGGCGGCGUGCUUAACACAUGCAAGUCGAACGGAAAGGCCCUGCUUUUGUGGGGUGCUCGAGUGGCGAACGGGUGAGUAACACGUGAGUAACCUGCCCUUGACUUUGGGAUAACUUCAGGAAACUGGGGCUAAUACCGGAUAGGAGCUCCUGCUGCAUGGUGGGGGUUGGAAAGUUUCGGCGGUUGGGGAUGGACUCGCGGCUUAUCAACUUGUUGGUGGGGGAGUGGCUUACCAAGGCUUUGAAGGGUAGCCGGCCUGGGAGGGUGGCCGGCCACAUUGGGCCUGAGAUACGGCCCAGACUCCUACGGGAGGCAGCAGUGGGGAAUAUUGCACAAUGGGCGGAAGCCUGAUGCAGCAACGCCGCGUGCGGGAUGACGGCCUUCGGGUUGUAAACCGCUUUCGCCUGUGACGAAGCGUGAGUGACGGUAAUGGGUAAAGAAGCACCGGCUAACUACGUG